CUGUUGAUUCAUUUACAGUCGCAGUGAUUCUCUUAACAGCUAUGGCAAUGGGAUGGAUCUCAGUUAACAACCCUCUUGCUUAGUAACAAAACGUCUGGUCCAGUGGGAAUUCAAAUGGUUUGAAAUAAUGAGCAUCUACUCCAUACUACCACUGAUGAUGCCACCUACUUUGGUAAUGAACAGUGUGCAAGACAACAACUAAGCUUAUAGAGUACCAAGGACCACACAGUUCAUCCCUGAGUUACGAGUAUUCUCUUCUCUCAGCAUCUACAUUUAAUACAUACAAACCACAUUUCUGCUUCUUAUGGAUGUUCCAUGUAGCCACCUCCCUAUUAGGAUAUAAUGGAUAUGUAAACAGCCACCUACAAUUCAAAAGCUGAGGCAUUUAAAUGAAUGUUAAGGCGACACUUGGUGUCACAGUUCUCUCAUACAGUUUUUAUGAGUGAUGUUUCCCUGCCUCCUUUUACAAGCAAGAUGCCUAUACAUAAUACAAAUUCAUUAAAAGUAGGAUCUUAUGCUACUGCUGUCCUCUUGUGGCUUAAAAGAAGAGUCUUUAAAGAAAAGAAAAACUAUAGAUUAUUUUCAGACAACAAGCAAAAUAAAUCAAAAUCAAUUCACUCCUAUAACCACUCCAUUUUAACUGCAAAGUAGGCCUUUCCAUGGCAAAUAAAAUAAAAUCUUUCUUGUAAAUUCCCUUGGGUUAAUAAAAGAGGAUACCUGCCUUAUAUUUAAACCA